CUAGGAGCUUCAGUCUCUGCCCAGACACAGAACUGCCCGGUCCAGCCCGCUGGGGAGUUUCCCUCACUGCAUGAACACGAGAAUGAAAUCUCUGUGGCUUUUCCUUUCCCUGGUCUCCGUCCCCACCUGUGUCCUCUCUCAGGUGCAGCUGGUCCAGUCGGGCCUGGGAACGGUGAAGCCCGGAGAGACCCUCGCACUGACCUGCGCUGUCUCGGGUGUCUCCAUCACUGACAGCAGCUACGUCUGGCACUGGGUCCGGCAGCCCCCCGGGAAAGGGCUGGAGUGGAUGGGGUACGUGUACCCGUAUAGUAGCGGGGAGACAGGCUACUCCCCGUCUCUCCAGGGCCGAGUAACCAUCUCUGCAGACACCGCCAAGAACCAGUUCUCGCUGCAGCUCCGCUCGCUGACAGCUGCAGACACCGGCACCUAUUACUGCGCCAGACACACAGUGACACAGAGCAGAGCGGGACUGGCACAAAAAGGGGAAGCUGGUUCUAAGCAGCCGAGUGAGGCCGGAGAAGCGGGGAGAGCUGAGCCCUUCAGACAUAAAGACACACACACAGUUGACCGAAUAUGAACAACCCGCACACUAACAGAUAGCUUUUAAAUGCCUCCAGCUGCCACCCAG